rnacentral:rRNA from 1 species
GAGUUUGAUCCUGGCUCAUUAUGAACGCUGGCGGCGUGCUUAACACAUGCAAGUCGAGCGCGGUCCCUUUGGUGCUUGCACCAAAGAAGACUGAGCGGCGGACGGGUGAGUAACGCGUGGGUAACCUGCCCUAUACACAUGGAUAACAUGCUCGAAAAGCAUACUAAUACAUGAUAAUGUACACUGAUGGCAUCUUCGGUGUAUCAAAGCGUUAGCGGUAUAGGAUGGACCCGCGUCUGAUUAGCUAGUGGGUGGAGUAAAAGCCUACCAAGGCCACGAUCAGUAGCCGACCUGAGAGGGUGAUCGGCCACAUUGGAACUGAGACACGGUCCAAACUCCUACGGGAGGCAGCAGUGGGGAAUAUUGCACAAUGGGCGAAAGCCUGAUGCAGCAACGCCGCGUGAACGAUGAAGGUCUUCGGAUCGUAAAGUUCUGUCGCAGGGGAAGAUAAUGACGGUACCCUGUGAGGAAGCACCGGCUAACUACGUGCCAGCAGCCGCGGUAAUACGUAGGGUGCUAGCGUUAUCCGGAUUUACUGGGCGUAAGGGGUGCGUACGUGGUCUUUCAUGUCGGUGGUUAAAGGCUACGGCUCACCCGUAUCAAACCGCCGAAGUGGAACACUUGAGUGCACGACAGGAAAGUGGAAUCUCAGUGUAGCGGCGACAUGCGUAGAUAUUGACAAGAACACCAGUAGCGAAGGCGGGUUUCUGGACUGUAACUGACCCUGAGGCACGAAAGCGUGGGUAGCAAACAGGAUUAGAUACCCUGGUAGUCCACGCCGUAAACGAUGAGUAUUAGGUGUCGGGGGUUACCCCCCUCGGUGCCGCAGUUAACGCAUUAAAUACUCCGCCUGGGGAGUACGCACGCAAGUGUGAAACUCAAAGGAAUUGACGGGGACCCGCACAAGUAGCGGAGCAUGUGGUUUAAUUCGAAGCAACGCGAAGAACCUUACCUAAGCUUGACAUCUCUCAGAUCGGUAGUUAAUCCUACCUUCCCUUCGGGGCUGAGAUGACAGGUGGUGCAUGGUUGUCGUCAGCUCGUGUCGUGAGAUGUUGGGUUAAGUCCCGCAACGAGCGCAACCCUUGUCUUUAGUUGCCGGCAUUAAGUUGGGCACUCUAGAGAGACUGCCAGGGAUAACCUGGAGGAAGGUGGGGAUGACGUCAAAUCAUCACGCCCCUUAUGCUUAGGGCUACACACGUGCUACAAUGGGUGGUACAGAGGGUUGCCAAGCCGCAAGGUGGAGCUAAUCCCUUAAAGCCAUUCUCAGUUCGGAUUGUAGGCUGAAACUCGCCUACAUGAAGCUGGAGUUACUAGUAAUCGCAGAUCAGAAUGCUGCGGUGAAUGCGUUCCGCGGGUCUUGUACACACCGCCCGUC